UAAGAUUGAAAUAGUUUUUCCCAAUGCACACUCAUAGGACCCAUUAAAGCCAAAAAAAAGUAACGCAAAGCAUGGAAAUCAUAUAUACUUGGAAAUCAUAAGUUUUUCUCCUUCCUUUCCACGUUGAAUGUCAUUGCUAACUGAUUUGAAAUGAUCAUAUAAAUGAACUUUGCAAAAGAACACAAAAUCCAAUCACCCUGUUACCAUGUUGUUGACUUCCAUCAAGUCACUUUCCAUGUGUACUCUAGAACAUCACUUAGCCUGCUAUGUAACAGGAGUAUGUUCCAUCAGCUAAGCAUGCAGCACUGAGUGAAACCAUUGUUCUCAUCAUCUGGUCUAUAAUGUUUAUUUUUGUUUCUUCUUUCUCUGUACAUGAACCAUAAAGAAAAUAAGCUCAUGAAGGAAAGGCUAACUCAUCCUUUUCAAUAUUAUAUGGGAGUAUAGAAUUUGUAAUACCUUGUGUCCGUGUCAAUCCAUGUCUCAUAUUUCCAUUCGGUGCCUCGGUGGUAGCCAGCAUGUAAUCCCUAGUCCGUAGCGCCUCUUCUCUGUCCUCGGAUGGCGUUCACAUAUUUUCUGUAGUAGCAUUAUCAACAGGUAACCAUAUUGUGAUGCAACUGUACCCAGCGUAUAUAGUGAUGCAACUGUACCCAGCGAAAAUCUGCAUGAGCGUACAAAAUAGAUACUAAAGGUUCGUCAAAAUAGUUCAAGGAUCUGGCUAACAAUUUGAAAAAAUUGGAGUUUUGACACUGAAAACAUAAAAUAGUAGUGGUAGCUUCACUACUAAACACGAAACAGAGACUGGGCAGUACCACCCAUGGCUCUUUCCAUUUUUAAGACUGAGCUCAGCAACCUCUUUGUCAGGUAUUAUAAUAUCACGGACUAAUAAGUUUACCAAUUUCUAAGAGCUUUCUCGCAGUUUGUACCCUGUUUGUAAAGAAGUCCCAUGUUUCACCUUUUCAAUUCUCAUGCAGAAGGAAUGCGUAAGAAAGAUACAAAGAUAAAUCAUACUCCUAUAUAGUAAUUCUGGCCAAAACAUUAUAUAAAAAGAUUCUAUUAGAUUAGGCGAGGCUCAACAACCUGAAAGAGAUGUGUAUAGGGCAGUGAGCCUCUGUAGUUUAUAAACAACAGUGGCGGUCAGUGAGAUUCUUGAAGUACUCUACACAGCCAAGCUAUCAUUUUAGCUGUGACCAUCUAGAAUUACUAUGAACAGCAUGUAGUUUUGCUUCUAACCCGGUCUGAAAUAUUCAAGCAACAUAAACACGUGACGAUUUUGGUUCAUAUUACAAACAAUGGAAAGCAAGAAAUAUGAAUCAAGUAGUAUUUGGGACAAAAUAAAAAUAUAAUAAUAAAGAAAAUAUGUGUUGGGGAAAAAAUAGAGUUUCCACACUUAAAACAACAAAUAGUGGUAGCUUCACUACUGAAAACAAAAUAGAGACUGGGCAGUACCACCCUAACUCUUUCUAUUUUUAAGACUGAGCUCAGCAACCUCUUUGUCAGGUAUUAAGUUAUCACGGGCUAAUAAGUUUAACAAUUUCUAAGAGCUUUCUUACCGUUUGUACCCUACUUGUAAAGAAGUAGCAUGUCACCAUUCCGAUUUAUGUCAGUAUUUGACCUCCUGAAUUCUCAUGCAGAAGGAAUGUGUACGAAAGAGGCAAAGAUAAAUCAUACUCCUAUAUAGUAAUUUUGGCCAAAACAUAAUUCAAAAAGAUUCUAUUAGAUUAGGCGAGGUUCAACAACCUGAAAAGAGUUUUUUUUGCGGGAACAACCUGAAGGAGUUGUGUAUAGGACACUGAGCCUCUGUAAUCAUACUCCUAUAUAGUAAUUCUGGCCAAAACAUUAUAUAAAAAGAUUCUAUUAGAUUAGGCGAGGCUGAACAACCUGAAAGAGUUGUGUAUAGGGCAGUGAGCCUCUGUAGUUUAUAAACAACAGUGGCGGUCAGAGAGAUUCUUGAAGUAGUCUACAUAGCCAAGCUAUCAUUUUAGCUGUGACCAUCUAGAAUUGCUAUGAACGGCAUGUAGUUGCUUCUUACCCAGUCUGAAAUAUUCAAGCAACAUAAACACGUGAUGAUUUUGGUUCAUAUUACAAACAAUGGAAAGCAAGAAAUAUGAAUCAAGUAGUAUUUAGGACAAAAUAAAAUUAUAAUAAUAAAGAAAAUAUGUGUUGGGGAAAAAAUUAGAGUUUCCACACUGAAAACAAAAAAAUAGUGGUAGUCCACUACUGAAAACAAAAUAGAGACUGGGCAGUACCACCCAUAGCUCUUUCUAUUUUUAAGACUGAGCUCAGCAACCUCUUUGUCAGGUAUUAAGUUAUCACAGACUAAUAAGUUUAACACUUUGUAAGAGCUUUCUUACCAUUUGUACCCUGUUUGUAAAGAAGUAGCAUCUCACCAUUCAGAUUUAUGUCAAUAUUUGACCUCCUCAAUUCUCAUGCAGAAGGAAUGUGUAUGAAAGAGGCAAAGAUAAACCAUACUCCUAUAUAGUAAUUUUGGCCAAAACAUAAUUCAAAAAGAUUCUAUUAGAUUAGGCGAGGUUGAACAAC
rnacentral:lncRNA from 1 species